rnacentral:rRNA from 1 species
CUACGGGGUGCUGCAGUGGGGAAUAUUGGGCAAUGGGGGGAACCCUGAUGCAGCAACGCCGCGUGGAGGAUGACGCAUUUCGGUGUGUAAACUCCUUUUAUAUGUCAAGAAAAUGACGGUAGCAUAUGAAUAAGCACCGGCUAACUCCGUGCCAGCAGCCGCGGUAAUACGGAGGGUGCAAGCGUUACUCGGAAUCACUGGGCGUAAAGGACGCGUAGGCGGGUUGGAAAGUCAGGUGUGAAAUCCUACAGCUUAACUGUAGAACUGCACUUGAAACUUCUAAUCUAGAGUAUGGGAGGGGGAGAUGGAAUUAGUGGUGUAGGGGUAAAAUCCGUAGAUAUCACUAGGAAUACCUAAAGCGAAGGCGAUCUCCUGGAACAUUACUGACGCUAAGGCGUGAAAGCGUGGGGAGCAAACAGGAUUAGAUACCCGUGUAGUC